UACUGUGGGGCUCAGUGGGAAAGCAAGAGCUUGGCAUGCACAAAGCCCUGGGAUCAAUCCCAGCACGGCAA
rnacentral:tRNA from 1 species